AGUACCACAUUUUGUUUAGUGAAUCAACAACAAUAACAUUUCUGUUUAAAUGCUGGAUUCCCCAUCACAACCAGCACUUCCUGCUGGAGCUUCAUCCAUCAGCCCCCAAGGGAGGGACUGGAGUGGGUCAGCUGCACAGGUCACGAAGGGAGCGCAAAUUCCAACCCACUCCUCAAGAGUCCAGUCACCACCUCCAGAUCUGUGUCCAAAAAACAAUUCUUCCUGCGGCCGAGCUACCUGAGCAACAAGCACACAACCAUGUAUUUCAUGUAUUUUUUUAUUUUUUAAAUUUUAU
rnacentral:lncRNA from 1 species